rnacentral:sRNA from 1 species
AUGUUGGUCAGGCUGGUCUCGAACUACUGACCUCGUGAUCCGCCCGCCUCGGCCUCCCAAAGUGCUGGGAUUAUGGGUGUGAGCCUUUGCGCCCGGCCCAGAGCAUUCUUUAUAAGCAUUUGAAGGUGGCUCCCCCCAGUCCUCCGCCCCACGUGUAUUUUCCCCUAAAAGAAAACCUGCAUCCUUAACACCCCAUCUCUUCAGUCCUGAUGACUCCGGUGGGCCAGUUCUGCAUAGUCUCUGCCCUCAUGGAGAACACAUUCCUCCUGGGGAGACUGACAGAUGCAUAGACAGGAACAAGCCAGGGUCAUGUUGGCGCCGGAAGAGCCGACCGUGUUUGGCGUGGGAAAUUGACCUACCUGCCUGCUGGGAGAUGGAGGGUUGCGGUUGUGUGGUUUCAGUUAAGGAGCACUUCCCAGAGAAGGAAGGGAGCAGGAUGGAGUAGGAACUAGCCAACCCUAGGUCACCUUUGGCUCUUCAGAGAUGCAGGGACACACGAUGGGCUUCUCGUUAACCAAACUGAAUUAUUUGUGCCAUCUCUCAAUGUUGACGGACAGCCUAUUUUUGCCAAUAUCACACUGCCAGUGUAUACUCUGAAAGAGCGAUGCCUCCAGGUUGUCCGGAGCCUAGUCAAACCUGAGAAUUACAGGAGACUGGACAUCGUCAGGUCGCUCUACGAAGAUCUGGAAGACCACCCAAAUGUGCAGAAAGACCUGGAGCGGCUGACGCAAGAGCACAUUGCACAUCAACGGAUGGGAGAUUGAAGAUUUCUGUUGAAACUUACACUCUUUCAUCUCAGCUUUUGAUGGUACUAAUGAGUCUUGAUCUAGAUACAGGACUGGUUCCUUCCUCAGUUUCAAAGUGUCUCAUUCUCAGAGUAAAAUAGGCACCAUUGCUUAAAAGAAAGUUAACUGACUUCACUAGGCAUUGCGAUGUUUAGGGGC